GUAACUCCGCUUACACCCCAGUUACCAACAAGGAUCAGAUAUAACUACAACGUUAAGAUCAGGUAGGGACUCCAUAAUCUCCCCAAUUUUUUUUGAAUUAUGAAUAAAUGAAAAGGAGAUUUGUGAGAUCCUAGGCACUAGGCACUACUUUCCUUGCCAAGGCCAGUAGUAUCCUGGCAACACGAGCACGCUGCAGUCAACAUCGGCCUGCACGUGAUUUCAGAGAGGGCACUCAAUCCCAACCACACAAUUAUGUUAAUGUUUUUUGUGUUCAAGCCCCUCCUUCUUCCGAGUUCUCUGGAAUAAGGGUUGGAGAAGGAUAUAAUGGUUUUUCCGGGUGAUUCUACUUGCCAAAUGACACAUGCGUUUCUGUUGAAGUUUCCCUGGAAUUGCGCUCUUGCCUAGAGUGUAAUGAAAGAGCAACCGCCACUCUCUGCACAUGUUGUUGACUUUAAACUCAGGGUUGGUUUAAGUCUGUUUAGGACAAUGUUCUCAUUUCUAAGAAGGGCUAUUUAUGGCAGUUUAUAUAAUGAGUUUUUGUAUUCAUAGCAUGCGUUCACAUUCUAAGUACAGUCACCUCCUAAAGUAUUGGAAUGGCAAGGCCAAUUUCUUUGUUUUUGUUGUUCAAUAUAGACAUUUGAUUUUAAGAUCAAAAGAUGAGCAUGGGACAAGAGUUCUGAAUUUCUGCUUUUAUUUGCUGGUAUUUACAUUUAGAUGUAUUAAACAACAACAAGGAUAUAUCACUGUUUGUAUUAGACCACAGCAUUUUUAGGUGAGCAAAAGUAAAGGAACAUGUGACUGACAGGUGUUUCUUGUUGCCCAGGUGUUGCCUUUGAGGUUGAUUCAUCAAAGAUUAAAUAGCUCUGCAUGACUAGUCUAAGUUUACUGCCUUUUUUAAACCUGUAAAGCGUCCAUUUCUUGUUAAAGAUGGUAAAACAACAUGAAGACCAGAGAGCUGUAUGUAUGGAAGAAAAGGAAGCUAUUUUGAAGCUGAGAAAAUAAGGAAAAUCAAUCAGCAUUGGACAAGCAUUAGGCAUUGCAACCAGAACAAUUUGGAAUGUCCUGAAAAAGAAAGAAACUACUGGUGACCUGAGCAACAGACAUUGUAAAGGUCGGCCAAGGAAAACAACAGUAGUUGAUGACCGAAAAAUUGUGAGGGCUGUGAAGAAAACACCAAAAACAUCAGCAAAUGACAUCACAAACGACCUCCAGAGUGCUGGGGACAAUGAGCCAAAGCACACGGCCAACAAGAAGAAUGAGACCGUUUGAUGAUGUCCAAGGGUCGCAGGCUUGAGGCAGUUAUUGCAAGCAAGGGUUAUCCCACCAAAUAUUGAUGUUAUUUACCUUAAGAUUUUUUGUUCCUUUACUUUUGCUCACCUAAAAAUGCUGUGGUCUAAUACAAACA